CUCUUUGUUGUGACGAUUGUUCGGCCAAGGGGAAGCCAUUACAGAGUCUCUAUCAUUAAAGUCUUCUGCUGUAGGAAUGUUAAUGGCAACCUGUGUUGCAGCGGAGGAUUGCUGCUCCAGGGGCUCAGGAGAGGAGGCAGGGGCGGGGGUGAUUCUUGGCGUCCCCCUGUCCUCUGCUUUGUUCUGUUUCGUAACCUGUCGAAUGGCUUCUUCAUUCACUGUCUGUGAGAAGAAAUUGUCUGAAUUCUUAUUCGCAGAGCUAUCUCUAGGAUUAGGGUUUCUAAUCUGUGUAGAUAUCUGAAUAAAUUCUGUCUCUCCUUUUGUUCCGUACAUAGAAAAGGAAGCUGGGCUAUUGACUCGAAUAGGUUUAGUGGGACUCGGUUUAUACAUAUGUUUUGCACUAGCUCUGUCACUGUUUCUGCUGAUGGACCUGUCACUUCCUGCUCGACUGGAAGCAACAGACCGUGAACUUAACUCACUUUGCGAUCUUACAAAAGAACCGGAGGGAGGUCCAACUGUCAAGUCAGCCACUGAAUAUGGCUGCACAGUAAAGGACGGAGUGACAGCUUUAAACUUGGGAGACUUUGAGGGUUCACUAUUGCUGCUGACGUGAGAUUCAGCCCCGCUAGUCUUGCUAGGACUCCUGUCUGUGUUAUCAGGGUCGGACACAGAGUCUGCCGGAGGGCUUUCACUGUUUUCCACAGAGGAUUCGUUUUUGGAAGCUUCCUGCUUUGGAGAGUUUUUGGCACUGAUAGAAUGUUUGAGCACAUCAUCAACAGUCAAAGACUGCAGUUGAUCUUCAUCGUCACUGGGGUCAAUGGACAGAACUACUAUCUUAUUCUGCUGGUCAUGGCCGUCUAAGCCUGGUCCUGAUUUAGGUCGCUGUCGAACUUUGUAGCCUUCAUGUGAAGGAGAGGCGAGUUUUGGACGCGUUUUGUUUUCUUCAGGAUGACUGAAUAUAACAGGGUGGGUUUCACAAAGAUUCUAAAAUAUAUAGGAUAUGGCAAAAUUACCUACUAUCUAUGCAUAUGUUUGAUAUGUUAAGAAUAUAUAUAUAUGUAAUGACCAUACCACAAUAAGAAUUUUCAAACAGAC
rnacentral:sRNA from 1 species